AGUAACGGCGAGUGAAGCGGCAACAGCUCAAAUUUGGAAUCUGGCCCCCCUUCAGGGGCCCGAGUUGUAAUCUGCAGAGGGUGCUUCGGCGUGGACGGCGGCUUAAGUUCCUUGGAACAGGACGUCGCAGAGGGUGAGAAUCCCGUACGUGGCCGACCGUCCCUCGCCGUGUGAAGCCCCUUCGACGAGUCGAGUUGUUUGGGAAUGCAGCUCUAAAUGGGAGGUAAAUUCCUUCUAAAGCUAAAUACCGGCCGGAGACCGAUAGCGCACAAGUAGAGUGAUCGAAAGAUGAAAAGCACUUUGGAAAGAGAGUCAAAAAGCACGUGAAAUUGUUGAAAGGGAAGCGCUUGCGGCCAGACUUGCCCGCGGUCGUCCUCUUCCGCGGGCAGGCCAGCAUCGGUUCGGGCGGUCGGAUAAAGGCCUCUGUCAUGUAUCUCCCUCCGGGGUGACCUUAUAGGGGAGGCGUAACGCGAUCAGCCGGGACCGAGGUCCGCGCAU
rnacentral:rRNA from 1 species